GAUGAACGCUGGCGGCGUGCCUAAUACAUGCAAGUCGAGCGAACGGACGAUAAGCUUGUUUCUCUGAUGUUAGCGGCGGACGGGCGAGUAACACGUGGAUAACCUACCUAUAAGACUGGGAUAAUUACGGGAAACCGGAGCUAAUACCGGAUGAUAUUUUGAACCGCAUGGUUCAAAAGUGAAUGACGGUCUUGCUGUCUCUUAUAGAUGGAUCCGCGCUGCAUUAGCUAGUUGGUAAGGUAACGGCCUACCAAGGCGACGAUGCGUAGCCGACCUGAGAGGAUGAUCGGCCACACUGGAACUGAGACACGGUCCAGACUCCUACGGGAGGCAGCAGUGGGGAAUCUUCCGCAAUGGGCGCAAGCCUGACGGAGCAACGCCGCGUGAGUGAUGAAGGUCUUCGGGUCGUAAAGCUCUGUUAUUGGGAAAGAACAUCUGUAUAAGUAACUGUGCACAUCUUGACGGUACCUAAUCAAAAAGCCCCGGCUAACUACGUG
rnacentral:rRNA from 1 species